UUGAUAUUUUUUCUUUCGUCUUUCGUUGUUUCUCUCUACAACUCUUCACCUCCUAAUACAUUCAUCAGAAAAACUAGGUUUGCAUUCAACACGAUUCACAAAAUUCUCUAACUCAUACAAUGCCUCUUCCUCCCAUGUUACGAUUCAUAAACCCUAUCUCUCAUCUAAACUCUUGAGCAGCUUCUCUUUCAAGCAAUCAAAACCUUUAGUUUGGCAUUUUUUCUUGCUUUGCUGCGUGUCCUCUACUGCCCGUUUUCUUGCUUCCCUGCUUCACUAAUCCAUCUUAUAAGAAAGACAGAUACAACACGAGAGGAGACGUGGAUGGUGUUUUAUGGCGGUAAGCGACCAAACCAACCCGAACCGACGAUGAAGGAGGAACUGAAAUAAACGAGCAUCGCCGACCUGACUUGAUUACAGUGUUAGGUUACCGUUUUUUGUGAGAACAAAGGGAUCAUAAUCAAAUAGCAGGAAGGGAGUAGAAUGAAGAAAUUGUAACGUAUAUCAUGGUAAACGCCAUUUUCAAGUGUGAUUCAGACACAAAUUCGAGUGAAGUAGAUAGAGUUUCAAUAAAGCUUCAAUUGUCUUUGGUACCGAAUAAAAUUUCGGCUUCUGGUAAUGUUUAUUUUGUAUGUGUUUUGAAUUUUUUUGAUCUUUAUUCAACUGCACAUCUUCAUGCUUCCGUGCGUUUAGACACCUCUUCAUCCGCCUUUUCUUUUGUCACCAACAAUUGAAAACCCUAAUUAGGUUCACAGUCAAUCAACCUACGUGAUUGAGACCUUCCUUAUUUUCCUCUAUUUUGUUUCAACGUUCUCAAAAGAAACCUUAAAUGGCGCCUCACAAUUUUUCGAAUCGACUGCAAGGUGCGUACCCGUUAUUAGCAUGUUUGUUGCAUCAAGGGAAGUUUGUCCACAAAAGUUAUGGAAUGUAAUUUUAGACAUAUUUUCGAUAGUUUCGGGCUGCAAAGACUUGAAAAAAUUCAUCUUAUCCGUUGUUUAAACAUAAGCAAUGUUGAGUGGCUUGAGUGUCUCGGUAAGCAAGAAACGCUUCAAGAUCUUUGCAUCAAGAAUUGUCGGGGUAUUGGAGAAGGUUAAUUAGUUAAACUCGGGCCCACUUGGCGAAACAUGAAACGUUUGCAGUUCGAGGUUGACUCAAACUACAGGUACAUGAAACUGUAUGACCGGUUAGCUGUUGACUGGUGGCAAAAACAGUGGGUCCCGUGUGAAAACAUGACGGAAAUUAUGCUCACCAACUGCAUUAUCAGCCCGGGUAGAGGGUUAGCUUGUAUUUUAGACAAAUGCAAAAACUUAGAGAAAGUUCAUCUAGACAUGUGUAUAGGCGCACGCGAUUGUGAUAUUAUUGGGCUGGCUGAAAACUCAAAAAAUCUCCGGGCCAUUUCGAUACGAGUCAUACAGUUUUCUCGCUUCCGCUUUUAAUGGACAACCCGUUAAGACUCACCGACAAUAGUUUAAAGUCAUUGGCUCAAAACUGCACGCAACUCGAGUCCGUAUCACUAUCGUUCUCAGACGGAGAGUUUCCUUCGUUAUCUUCGUUUUCGAUAGACGGGAUUUUAAGUUUAAUAACAUUAACAAUGUGCCCCGUGAAAAGCCUGUUUUUGGACCGUGUUUAUUCUUUUAAUAAUACUGGUAUGGACAGUGUUUUUUUCCUCAUCACGCUUCUUUUUGGGCAGAAAAGUUUUGAUUUUGGAAAUAAUUUAAGUGUACCAAUUUGUGAUUUGAUCUUUAAUUUUUAGAAUUUAAUGUAAUAGCAUAAAAGUCACGUAUAUCACUUUAGUAAAUAUGUAUCAACCAAUAAUCAUACACCUUUGCAUCUUCAAGAUGUUUUUUGAUCCAAACUUUUAAGCAUAAUUAUAACAUUUAUAUGUUUGUAUGUUGGCAAUAGGUGGGAAAAGAGGUAUGGUGUCCUAUAUGCAAGUAAGUGUUGCAAUAGAACUGAUAUAUUAUCUUAUUAUGGGUUAUGUUCUCUUUGCGAACGUGAACUCAACAGAGACGGUGAGGUCCUAACAACUCUAUCUUCACACUCAUGUUUUGUAGCUGAUCAUCUAUACUAUACGGAUGGCAAAAUGGGUGGGUUGGGUAACGGGUUAAAUUGGGUUUGUGUCAACAUGUUAGUCUUUUGGUUUGGGUCAAAGCGGUUGGGUUGGGUUGGAUCAUGUAUACAGAUGGCAAAAUGGAUGGGUUGGGUAACGGGUCAAAUUGGGUUUCAUGGAAACCAACCAGUUUAAACUGGUUUGGACUAUCUAAAGUGUAAUCAAAUGCUUAAACUCUUCGAAAUUGUUUUAUAAAAAAAAAUAUGUGACUGUUUUCAUAAUAUGAUUUUUUUGAUUACAUAGAGAGAAUAAUACAUUAACUAUUUAUUAUAUUUAUUAGAUCCAUAAAAAGCACUAAAAGGUAUUGAUGGGUUAAAUUAAGCCGUUUUGACUAAAAGUUCAACAUAACUUUAUUUCAGCAAAACCCUUUUUCUCUAGCCCACUUAUUUCCCUGCAUGUACUAAUUUGCUCAUGCUUCCUUAUUUUUUUUUCCUAUUUAGGAUGAGGCUUGCAUCUUAAUUUGUAGGAUUUUUGUAGGGUUUGGUUCAUUUGACCACCUAAAAUUCUAUUUUAAUAUUUGUUUUAUUUUCUUUAUCUAAUAUUUGAUAUUAUUGCUCUGUACAUGGAGUAUUUAUUUACUUAUAGAUUAAUCAAAAUGAUAUAUACAAACACCCUUGAUCAAAUUAUCCUGAUUAUUUUUGUAUUUUAUUAUCUCAGUUAGGUGGCAUUGGUGGCAUGAGUUAUACCUUUUGCUUUGGUCGGAUUGCUGGAUUUGAGACAGUUGAUUUAUGUUUUAAGCAAAAGAUUAUCUCAGAGGUGUAUAUCAGCAAGACAAUAAAUGGCUUCCUUUCUAGCAUUCUUGAACAGUCCUGUUGGGCCUAAAACUACCCAUUUCUGGGGUCCUGUAGCCAACUGUGGAUUUGUUGUUGCGGGGUUGGUUGACAUGCAGAACCCUCCAGAGAUGAUAUCCGGCAAUAUGAGUGCAGCUAUGUGUGUAUUCUGGAUUAUUCAUGAGGUUCGCCUGGAUGGUGCAGCCGCGUAAUUAUCUACUUCUAGCAUGUCAUGCAUCAAAUGAAACAGUUCAGAUGUAUCAAUUUUCACGUUGGUUAAAGCAUCAAGGGUUUAGAAGAAGAGGAUGUUCCUCAACUGUACCCAAAAGUGCUAAAUCUUGGUGAAAAACCAGAAGCAAGAAUCAAUGGUGGUUGAUGAUGCUUUUUCAUCAAAAUGGAGGUGGGUGACAGUCUUUUUCUCUCUACUCUUUCGUGCUCAGCAAAACACAAAACUUUUCCAUGAGGGGACAACUCAUGGCUGAUGGUUACGUAAAUAUAUAGAUCAUAGAUGAUAUUGUGCUGCACAUGAGAUGCUCACUAAAAUGCCUCAGUGACGUUUCUAUCUACUUUUCAACUAUCAUAGAAUUUAAAUAUUGACUUUUUGUUUGGCAUACAUUAAACGACGGGUGCAGAGCCAUUUUACUGGAUGCGUGUUAUUCUUGCUUCAAACCGUGGGACUGUCAUGGAGCUCGGUAUUACUCCCAUUGUGACUUCUGGAUUGGUUAUGUUGUUGGCUGGGUCAAAAAUUAUUGAAGUGGACAACAACGUUCGUGAGAACCGUGCACUAUUGUAAGUUUAAUAGUAUUCAGAAAUUUUCUUUUACCAACCCGCGAAGCUCGCGGGUUCUUAGACUUAGACGUGAAGCCUAAGUUUGGAAAGGCGUAGAACAAAAAUGAUGAUCUACCUGAGGAUUCAAUGCCAGUAGAUAUUAUAUAUUUGUGUUAAGCCACCCACGAAAAUCGCGGGAUCUUAGGCUAGUUUAAAAUAUAUAAAGAAUCAUAGGGUACGUGUAUGCAUAGGAUUUAAAGGUGGAAUAUAGGCAUUUAAUACCAAUAGGCUACGUGUGUGUAAACUUCCAUUCCAAGUAAAAUUU